rnacentral:rRNA from 1 species
UUUAGCUUUAGAAGAACUUUGACUAGAGAUACAACAGAACUUUGGAAUAGUUUGAAACAAAGAUAUGAGGAAGUUAGGAUGCAUGGGGAAAAAUAUCAACCCUUAUGGAUGCUUACUAAAGAUAGAAAGUUUUCAGUUAAAUCUCUAUAUUCUUUCCUGAUCAAUGAGGGGGUUGGAUUCCCACAUAAGUUCUUGUGGAAAAUUAAAAUCCCAUCCAAAAUUAAAAUGUUCUUUUGCUUGGUGACCAGAAGAAGCAUUUUGACCAAAGAUAAUUUGCUCAGAAAAGGAUGGAAAGGGGCAAAGGAAUGUGUGUAUUGUGGGAAAGAUGAAAACAUAGAUCAUUUAUUCUUUGAGUGCUCUGCGGCCAGAUUGGUCUGGAGCCUGAUCAAAUGUGAUUUAGAUUUUAGAACUACCCCAGUAAAUACCAAUGAUUACUUGGGGUGGCUAAAAACUUCUAAGAAACCAGAGAAAAAAAUUAGUCUUCGUAGAAAGUGCUGCUAUAUUCUGGGCUCUCUGGAAAUGCAUAAACGAUAUUAUCUUCAUAUCUAA